UACGAAGGGAGCUAGCGUUGUUCGGAAUUACUGGGCGUAAAGGGCGCGUAGGCGGUUUUGUAAGUCAGAUGUGAAAGCCCCGGGCUUAACCUGGGAGGUGCAUUUGAAACUGCAAGGCUAGAGAUCGAGAGAGGAAAGUGGAAUUACGAGUGUAGAGGUGAAAUUCGUAGAUAUUCGUAAGAACACCAGUGGCGAAGGCGACUUUCUGGCUCGAUACUGACGCUAAGGCGCGAAAGCGUGGGGAGCAAAC
rnacentral:rRNA from 1 species